CUUGCACUCUGAGUGCCCAAGGUAUGGGCAGAAGGGCCCAGUAUGAAGGUGUCUCCUCUGUGAGGGAAGCUGCCCCGACUCCAACCCACCUCCAGCUCUCAUCAUUUCCAGUCUUCAGAGUUCUUAGGCCCAUACUAUUGGCCUGCACUGUCUUCUGGGUUCAUCUCUACCUCUUCAGUUCUACACACAUCUGAGUUUCCCACCUGGAGCCAGGUACCAGACUGGAGGCCUAUUGAACAAAGAGGAUCUGUUGGGAAUUAGGCCCCAAGGGACCUGUGCACUAGAGCUUUGGAAUCAGUGUGCAUUUUACACACUUCAGCCUAGACUGGGAGCUCAGAGCUCAACAGGACCAUGAGACUCAGGAUGCCAUAUUGAACAGGACAUAUCCAGAUGGAAGGUUCUUGACUUCGUGAUGUCUCAGAACCACAUGGGCACCCUGUUCAAAACAAAUUUGCAGGCUUUGCCCAGAAUCAACUCACUGGCUCUAAGAAAGACUUGGUGGGAAUUCUGCCUUUGUGGAAGCAGCAAAUGUAGAAGACAUUCGUCAAAGAACUUUAAUUAAACACCCUCUGUAUGCCAGACAUAGCCCUCAGCAGCUUCAAAAUUAUGGAGCGAUGUACUCUUCCAAGAUGCCCUCACCAGAGGCAAAACAAAUGUGGCUGACUGAGCUUGGACUUUGAUCUUCCAAAGCUGUGAGAGGCUGAGCAGUCUGAUGUAACCAAGCUGGAGGUUCAGCCCAGUCUGAGUCCAAAUGCUGGAGAACCAGGCUCAGGUGUCCAAGGUCAGAGGGAGAUGUGCAUUCCAACCCCAGAAAGAAGAGAAUCUAAGCCUCCUGGUUACUGUUCUAUCUGAGCCUGUAUACAUAUCUUUCUCCUAUAACCACACCAUCUGGCUGGCUCCUCCAGGAUUACCCACAGACCAAGACUUCACUGCAAAGCGUCAAGUCUAGUUUCCCCCUACACAUGGUCAAGCAGGACAGGCCCAGGAAGCUGCGAUGGGAGCUGACUCAAGGCCACCUUCCAGAUCCUUCUCCAGUUGCUGUUCCCACCCAGCAGAGUCUGAUGGGACUCCCUCCUGCCGGCUGGAAGUGACUGACUUCUCCCGUGUCUCAGAGGCUUGAUCAACGCAUGACGCAGGCUCCAGGAACUCUUAACUCCCACAUCAAAGCCCAGGACAGCUCUGGCAGAGCAUGUAGUGGGGGCAGAGUGUUCUGGGGAAAAGAGAAGCCUGGAAACUCCAAGGGGAUGAAAGAGCUUCCGGUGGAGAGGGGCUCCAGGGACAGCUGGGUCUUUUAUCCUAGGAGCUCAAAAAACUGGGGUGUAUCAAGUUCUCAUUGAAGUCCACGCCCCUUCUGCCAAAGCCACGCCCACUCUACCGAAGCCACGCCCCUUCUACCAUGGCCACACCCUCUUUGCCAGGGACACUUCCCACUGCACUGACCCCUCACUCUCUCUCCAUAUUAUUUGAUAAUUGAUUGACUCACUCUGUGGGAGUGAUGCCAUGUAGGAUCCUGGCAGGUCACCCAGCUGAGGGCUCUGUCCAGCCAACUCAUUCCCUUCACUGCAGUGGUGUCACAAUGGGGGUAACGGAGGAGGCUGUGCUCUUACCUGUGGGCUUGGAGUUUUCAGAAAGAUGACCAUAAAAACUGAAUGACGUCUUGGCUUUUUGUAAACUCCAGGGCUGGGUAUAGAGAAGGGGUUUGAUGCCUGUGGGUAAGGGGCAGCCAGCAAACAGGUUCUUACUGGUCUGUGGCGCCUCUAUCAAAACAGGUAGGGAAUGGAGAGCUUGGCUGGGCCCCACUGCUGCCCUGCUGCUGGCCUGUGGACUUUCUGAUUUAGGUAUACCCACAACACCGAGCUGCCCCCCGCCCUGCAUUAUUCACUGUGAGGCUAUCUGAUGGAUAAAUACUCCAGGGAAAGAGGUCACUUCUGCUACAAACCCACAGACCAAAUCCAAGCAGCCGUGGAUUAUUAUUAAUUAUUAUUAUCAUUUGG